ensembl:snRNA U1 U1 spliceosomal RNA
CUACUUACCUGGCAGGGGAGACACCAUGAUCACGAAGGUGGUUUUCCCAGUGCGAGGCUUAGCCAUCGCACUCCGGAUGUGCUGACCCCUGCAAUUUCCCCAAAUGUGGGAAACUCGACUGCAUAAUUUGUGGUAGUGGGGGGACUGUGUUCAUGCUCUCCCCAA